CACUUGUAGCAUGCAGGAGCGUAGUCGCCAGGUUGGGGAGCAGAAGACUUAGCUGCAUCUCCGGUGGAGUUGGCUGUACUUCAAAUAUCAGGCAUGCAGCGGGGACUGACCGGAGCUACAAGUGUCCCCUACGACCCCUACGGAUUGCCCACCGACUUUGAGAGACUCGUGCUUCUAAACUUGCACAAGGA